UAAAAACAAAAUCUUCAUUUAUUUGAAGACACAAUUCUCUGUACGGGCACUUGCCAUGACUUUAUUUUUGAAUAUUUCUGUGUUCAUGUGGUAGGGAAAACAUUGUUGUAUACUACAAAUUCCCUGUUUUGCUUUUAGGUUGGAGACUACAUAAGACUUUGACAGUUGGCGGGAAACCAUCAUCAACUGGAGAGAUGCCGGAAGAGGAAUGUCUGCGACUAAGUCAAGGGCCACUGGAUAAGGGUUGUUGAUGGCAAAACAGGUUGGAGACUACAUAAGACUUUGACAGUUGGCGGGAAACCAUCAUCAACUGGAGAGAUGCCGGUAAAAAGAUGGCCAUAAAACAGUGACCGCUGAUUCGCAUUGAGUUCUUUCUUACAUAUUGGAUGACCUAUGUUUUUUAUUGUUUAAAUCAUUGCGGCUUGGAAUGCUCUUUAAGAAAAGGUAUGGUUAUGGGGGUGUCUACGCGCAAAAGUUUGACUUUAUUUUUUGUUAAAGUUAUUGCUUUUACAUUGAAUUUGUGCAGGAAAUCUUUUGGUAUGUUGUGACC